GUGGGGAAUAUUGGACAAUGGGCGAAAGCCUGAUCCAGCCAUGCCGCGUGAGUGAUGAAGGCCUUAGGGUUGUAAAGCUCUUUCAGUAGGGAAGAUAAUGACGGUACCUACAGAAGAAGCCCCGGCUAACUUCGUGCCAGCAGCCGCGGUAAUACGAAGGGGGCUAGCGUUGUUCGGAUUUACUGGGCGUAAAGCGCACGUAGGCGGAUCGUUAAGUCGGGGGUGAAAUCCUGGAGCUCAACUCCAGAACUGCCUUCGAUACUGGCGAUCUUGAGUCCGGAAGAGGUGAGUGGAACUCCUAGUGUAGAGGUGAAAUUCGUAGAUAUUCGGAAGAACACCAGUGGCGAAGGCGACUCACUGGCCCAAUACUGACGCUGAGGCGCGAAAGCGUGGGGAGCAAACAGGAUUAGAAACCCCUGUAGUCC
rnacentral:rRNA from 1 species